ACUCAGGUGACACAGAGGUGACACAGGUGACAAUGAGGUGACACAGGUGACACAGAGGUGACACUCAGGUGACACAGGUGACACACAGGUGACAAUGAGGUGACACAGGUGACACAGAGGUGACACAGGUGACACAGGUGACAAUGAGGUGACACUCAGGUGACAAUGAGGUGACACAGGUGACACAGGUGACACUCAGGUGACACUCAGGUGACACAGGUGACAAUGAGGUGACACUCAGGUGACAAUGAGGUGACACAGGUGACACAGGUGACACUCAGGUGACAAUGAGGUGACAAUGAGGUGACACAGGUGACACUCAGGUGACAAUGAGGUGACACAGGUGACACUCAGGUGACACAGGUGACACAGGUGACAAUGAGGUGACACACAGGUGACACACAGGUGACAAUGAGGUGACACACAGGUGACACUCAGGUGACACAGAGGUGACACACAGGUGACACUCAGGUGACACACAGGUGACACACAGGUGACACUCAGGUGACACACAGGUGACACACAGGUGACACAGGUGACAAUGAGGUGACACAGGUGACACAGGUGACACUCAGGUGACACAGAGGUGAC